UGGUUAAAAAGCUCGUAGUUGGAUCUCGGCGGUCUGAUGGCUGUUCGCUUGAUUGAGUGCUACUGCUCUAUAGGCCGUGGUUUUGCCAGAGGUCUCGGGGUGCUCUUAACCGAGUGUCCUGCGAUGCUGGCAGGUUUACUUUGAAAAAAUUAGAGUGCUCAAAGCAGGUUUUUACGCCUGAAUAUUCGUGCAUGGAAUAAUAGAAUAGGAAGUCGUUUCUAUUUUGUUGGUUUUCGGAAAUCGACUUAAUGAUUAAUAGGGACAGUCGGGGGCAUUUGUAUUCAAACGACAGAGGUGAAAUUCUUGGACCGUUUGAAGACAAACUACUGCGAAAGCAUUUGCCAAGAAUGUUUUCAUUAAUCAAGAACGAAAGUUAGAGGUUCGAAGGCGAUUAGAUACCGCCCUAGUUCUAACCAUAAACGAUGCCAGCUAGCGAUCUGCCGACGUU
rnacentral:rRNA from 1 species